AUUAACCCCUCCCCAUCCGUUCCCAGCGGAUCCUGGAGCCGGACGAUUUCCUGGACGAUUUGGACGAUGAGGAUUACGAGGAGGACACGCCCAAGCGCCGAGGGAAGGGCAAGGCCAAGGGAAAAGGCGUGGGAGGCGCUCGGAAGAAGCUGGACGCCGCCAUCCUGGAGGACCGGGACAAACCCUACGCGUGUGACAACAGUUACAAACAAAAGCAUUCCUUGAAACCUCCCGACCGAGGUAGUUCCGCUCUCUCUCUGCUCGUUUUUCCUGCUUUUCCUCCUUUUUUUUUUCCUUCCCUUUCCCCUCCUUUUCUUAUUUUUUUUUUUGGAUUUUUUUUUCCACUCCUCAUUCCCAAAAAAAAAAUACGAGAAUUCCGAUCUCCCCCUGCGGAGCCCCCGGGAUGGGAGAGGGGAGGGAAGAAGCCAAAAGGCCACGGGAGCGACGUCAGCCCCGCUCCGGCCCCCUGACGCUUUUCCAGCAGGGAAUGAGGCCGGGAAAACAAAGAUUUAAACCCCCCCCGUGGAGCCCAGCGGUGGGAAAAACACGGAGCUUCCACCCGGAUCCCGAAUCCCGGGAAACGCCGCCGCCUCCGGAGCUCCCCAGCUCCAAAAAACCUCGGGGCUCCGGCCUUAAAAAAGGCCUGGAAAAAUCGGGAUGGGGGUGGGGAAUUUGGGAUAUUCCCGAGGUUCUUCUCACUCAUCUCCAGGAGAAUUCCAGAGUUGUCCCAGAGGAUUUUUUUGGGGGGAAAAAGUGACUUUGGAACACCGGGAAUUUCACGGGAAUCCCUCUGGAAUUGCUGUUUUUUUCCUCAGUGCCGCUCCAAUCCCGUUUUCCCAAAAGCCCCAACAGAUCCCAGAGCGAUUCCCGUGGUUUUUAUCCCAAAAAAGCGGCGUGGGCAGCUGGAGCCAGGCUCCCUUUGGAAGUUCAGUUUUCCCGGAUCCGGCCGCUUCUUCCCUGAUUUUUCCACGCUCCGGGGAUGGAAGCGGAUCCGGGAAUUUCCGUGGGGUUCCGGAAAAGCCCCAAAACCAGGAAAUCUCAUCCCAAAAGCGGCUCCUUCCCGAUUUAGGGAGAAAAACAGGGAAAACUCGUUGGGAAAGGUCUGCACCAGGCGCUGGAAUUCCCACUCUGGCGCUGCUUUUUUGGGAUUUGAUCCCAAUUCCUCGGGUUGGGAAGGAGCCGGAUCCGGGCUCAUCCCAAAAAUGGGGCUGGAAAGGGAUUUUGGGGUGUCCUUGGAUAAGGAAAAAUUCCCAAAAAAAUGAAAAAACCUGGAAAAGCAGCGCUGGGGAACCGGAGCUGAUUCCCUGAUCCAUGGAUGGAGCAGAAAUCUCCCAAAUUCCGGGAUGGGAACGGGAAAAGCGAUGGAUUUUGGGGUUUGGAGGAGCCGGGAUGGAUCCGUGGCCGCGUCCAAAUCCCUCCUUGGAACCCCAGAAUUCCCGAAUUUCCCCUUCCCUCGGUUUUUACCUCGGGAUGGGAAUUUUUGGGGUGGGAAUUUCCUCUCCCUGACACAUUCCCAAUGGAUUUUGCCGUUGGAUUGAUCCCUGGGGAAUUUAUCUGGAAUUCCUUUGGAAUCCCGGAGAAUUUACCUGGAAUUCCUUUGGAAUUUACCUGGAAUUCUUUUGGAAUCCUGGGGAAUUUAUCUGGAAUUCUUUUGGAAUCCCGAGGAAUUUACCUGGAAUUCCUUUGGAAUUCCGGAGAAUUUACCUGGAAUUCCUUUGGAAUUCCGGAGAAUUUACCUGGAAUUCCUUUGGAAUCCCGGAGAAUUUACCUGGAAUUCCUCUGGAAUCCCAAGGAAUUUACCUGGAAUUCCUUUGGAAUCCCGGGGAAUUUACCUGGAAUUCCUCUGGAAUCCCGAGGAAUUUACCUGGAAUUCCUCAUACCUGCAAUUCCUUAGAGAUCCUGGGACCUCAGC